rnacentral:lncRNA from 1 species
ACGUCUGAAGCUAAAUCCAGUCUAGUGACAGUGGUCAUCGCCAGCGAGGAACCACUUGGUCUGUGACGCCAAACUAUUCGGUUCUUUGUGAGUCUUUUCCAUCAAGCAAGCUCUUGGGUACUUCUCUGAGUGUAAAGAAACAUACAUGCCCCUUGAUGACUGUGGGACUAUUGUUUUGCGAGGAUGUUAUUUCCUCAGCAAAUGGGAAGUUGCCCUCUAUAAAAAUGCUCAUUUCUAAAGGUAAGCUUAAAGAUGUUAGAGUGGAGCUCUUCUUU